rnacentral:sRNA from 1 species
UAAGGUGUCACAAAACAGGCUCCAUUCCUGCUUGCAGGAAACGGAGCCUGUUUUUGUGACCCGAACAAACAUGAACAUGAAGCAAUUUUCGAAGAAAAUGAGCGGAAUGUGAAUGUUUGUAGAAUUGCGAGAGUUGCGAAGCAACGGAGCAAUUCGUAG